UACCGGAUGUUCGUCCCAGAUUCGGCCCGGUUCCCGGUCCUGGAAUGGGCCCAUUCCUGUAAAUUCACAUAUCAUCCCAGAUGCCGUCGGACCCUGGCUUUCAUCCGCCAAAGUUUUUGGUGGACCACCAUGGUUCCGGGUGUCUCCACAUUCUUUGCUGCCUGCACUGUGUGCGCACAGAACAAGACUUUGUGGCAAGCUACAGCUGGUCUCCUUCAACCACUCCCUGUUCCUCAUCUCCCCUGAACUUUGUCACUGGUCUCCCUCCGUCAGAUGGCAACACCACCAUACUUACUGUGGUGGAUAGGUUUUCCAAAGCUGCACAUUUUAUUCCCCUUCCCAAGUUACCCUCAGCCAAGGAGACAACCCAGCUUAUGGUGCAGCACGUCUUCCGGAUCCAUGGACAUCCGGACAACAUGGUCUCCGAUCGGGGUCCUCUAGGAACAUCAUGGACCCAGCCCUCAUCACUGAGUUCCGCCGCCGACACCCCGGUCAACCAGUCUUUCCAGUUCUGACCUUCUUGUCUGCCCUGACCCUUGCUGCCAUCCUGUCCCGUUUUUAAUCUGCCUUGGACUACAAACCUCUGCCUGUCCUCGACCUGCCCUCUGUCAUAAAAACUAUUCUGACAACCGAACCAUCUUCCUCCUGUGUCUGCAUCUGGGUCAUAUCCAGAGUCGUGAUACUCAGACCAUGAGAAACAUGAUUCUCUGGUCUGAUGAAACCAAGAUUUAACUCUUUGGCCUAAAUGCCAAGUGUCACAUCUGGAGGAAACCUGGCACCAUCCUGACGGUGAAGCAUGAUGGUGGCAGCAUCAUGAUGUGGGGAUGUUUUUCAGCAGGAGGGACUGGGAGACUGGUCAGGAUCGAGGGAAAGAUGAACAGAGCAAAGUACAGAGAGAUCCUUGAUGAAAACUGCUCCAGAGCACUCAGGACCUCAGACUGAGGCGAAGGUUCACCUUCCAACAGGACAACGACCCUAAGCACACAGCCAAGAAAACGCAGGAGUGGCUUCGGGACAAGUGGCCCAGCCAGAGUUGCCCAGCCAGAGCCCGGACUUGAACUGAUCUAACAUCUCGGGAGAAACCUGAAAAUAGCUGUGCAGCAACGCUCUCCAUCCAUCCUGGCAGGGCUUGAGAGGAUCUGCAGGGAAGAAUGGGAAAAACGCCCCAAAUACAGGUGUGCCAAGCUUGUAGCGUCAUACCCAAGAAGACUCGAGGCUGUAAUCGCUGCCAAAGGUGCUUCAACAAAGUACUGAGUAAAGGGUCUGAAUACUUAUGUAAAUGUGAUAUUUCAGAUUAUUUGUAAUAAAUUUGCCCAAAUUUCUAAUAACCUGUUGCUGCUUUGUCAGAAAUGGCUAUUGUGUGUAGAUUAAUCAGGAAUAAAAUCUAUUUAAUCCAUUUUAGAAUAAGACUGUAACAUAACGAAAUGUGGAGAAAGUCAAGGGGUCUGAAUACUUUCCAAAUGCACUGUAGAUACACUUUCACACACUUCACAUACACUGCUGCUACUGUGUUUAUUAUCUAUCUUGAUUGCCUAGUCACUUUGCCCUGGCCUACAUGCACAUUGACUCGGUACCAGUACUCCUUGUAUAUAGCCUCGUUAUUUUAUUGUGUUACCAUUUCCUUUGUUAUUUAUUUUUGCUAUUUUUUCUUACUUUCUAACUGCAUUGUUGGGAAAGGGCUUGUAAGUUAGCAUAUCACAAUACAGUCUACACCUGUUGUAUUCGGCGCAUGUGACAAAUAAGAUUUGAUUCAGUGAUCUGACAAACCAUGCAUAAUUUAUGAAAUGCAUUGUCAAUACUUUGAUGGCUUUUUUUCCCUCUGUGCUGUAAUCGAUUGACAGAUUUAUUACCACUCUUUCAUGUUGUUUCAUGUGGGCUUUGUGCAUUGUUUAUUGCAAACUAUUUCCAAAGCCGAUACUAGCCAGGCCAGUGUAUAGCAGUGACUGCACCCCCCCAGUGUUGAAGUACGGCAGCUCAAGGCAGCAUACAGAAGCUCUCAAUCAUGACGGGGGACUGCCUGAUACACAGCGCCCUGAGGGAUAAUGGUUAUUUUGCAUGUGUGUGUGUAUGUGUGCAUGCGUGUGUGUACUGCAGAGUACAGUAUUUGACUCCAUUUUUGCGGUGGUGUAAAGUACUUCAGUAAAAAUACUUUAAAGUACUACUUAAGUAGUUUUUGGGGGUAUCUGUACUUUACUUUAUUCUUUAUAUGUUUUACAUCUUUUACUUUUACUUCACUAUAUUCCAAAAGAAAAUAAUCUACUUUUUACUCUAUACAAUUUCCCUGGCACACAAAAGUAUUUGUUACAUUUUGAAUGCUUAGCAGGACAUGAAAAUGGUCCAAUUCAUGCACUUAUCAAGAGAACAUCCCUGGUCAUCCCUUCUGCCUCUGAUCUGGCAGACUCACUAAACACACAUGCUUCAUUUGUAAAUUAUGAUUGAGUGUUGGAGUGUGUCCUGGCUAUCCAUAAAUAAAUAAAAAACUAAGAAA